rnacentral:misc_RNA from 1 species
GAGUUUUGUCUGUAGGAAACGCCUCUUAAGCGGAAAAGAACGCUUGGGUAAUAUAGGUUUUAAAAGCAUUAACAACAAUGGAUAUAGAUCUGGCAGUAAGAAAUGCGGAGCAGGAAUACUUGGAAUUUUUGGACGAUGAAGAAGAUCAAGGGAUUUAUGUAUCACUAGUUAAGAACAUGAUUGAGGAAAAAAAAUGUCGCUUAAUCGUUAACAUUAACGAUCUGCGAAGGAAGAACCCAAAUCGUGCGGCAAGAUUAUUAAAGAGUUCUUUCGAAGAACAGCUUGCAUUUGAGAGUGCAUUAAAACAAUUCGUUGGCAGUAUUGACGUGGAUUAUGUUAAGGAACACGUAGAUUUUUUUGUUGGCUUUGAAGGAAGUUUCGGUAACAAGCAUGUCACACCACGAACGGCGACGUCAAAAUAUCUAGGGAACUUGAUAUGCAUAGAAGGGAUUGUAACUAAAUGUUCUCUUGUCAGACCUAAAGUUGUAAGGAGUGUUCAUUAUUGUCCUGUGACAAAAAUAACUAUUGAAAGGGCUUAUACAGAUCUUACUUCUGUUGAUGCCUUUCCUGGUACUGCAGCAUACCCUACAAAGGAUGAUGAGGGAAAUCCAUUGGAGACCGAAUUUGGUCUAUCUACAUAUAAAGACCAUCAAACAUUGACAAUUCAAGAAAUGCCUGAAAAAGCUCCUGUGGGUCAGUUGCCACGUAGCGUCGACAUAAUAUGUGAUAAUGAUUUGGUGGACUUGUGCAAGCCAGGUGAUCGAGUUCAAAUUAUAGGAAAUUAUAGGUGUCUUCCAGGAAAACAAGGAGGAUAUACUACCGGAGCUUUCAGGACAGUUCUAAUUGCAAAUAAUAUCACCCAGUUAAAUAAAGAGGCUAAUCUUACUAUUUCACACGACGAUGUAGCAAUGUGUAAGAAAUUAGCCAGGCAUAAUCCUUGUGACGAUAUUUUCGAACUACUUGCUAAGUCAUUGGCACCAUCGAUAUGUGGUCAUGAAUAUAUUAAAAAAGCCAUACUGUACUUGCUAUUGGGUGGUGUUGAAAAAAUACUACCAAAUGGAUCACGUUUAAGGGGUGAUAUAAAUAUUCUUCUAAUUGGCGAUCCAUCUGUUGCAAAAUCUCAAUUGUUGAGAUACGUCUUAUGUACGGCUCCACGAGCAAUUACGACUACUGGUAGAGGAUCGUCCGGUGUAGGUUUGACAGCUGCGGUCACAUCUGAUCAAGAAACUGGAGAACGUCGACUCGAAGCUGGUGCUAUGGUUCUAGCUGAUCGUGGGGUCAUUUGUAUCGAUGAAUUUGAUAAGAUGACAGAUAUAGAUAGAACUGCUAUUCAUGAAGUAAUGGAACAGGGAAAAGUCACCAUUGCAAAAGCUGGAAUUCAUGCUAGCUUGAACGCACGAUGUUCCGUAUUAGCGGCUGCUAAUCCAGUUUACGGAAGAUACAACCAGUACAAAACACCGAUGGAGAACAUUGGACUGCAAGAUUCAUUGCUUUCUCGAUUUGAUCUUCUAUUCGUCAUGCUGGAUAUCGUUGACUCCGAACAAGAUCAUAUUAUAAGUAAUCACGUAGUGAGAAUGCACAGGUACAGGAAACCUGGUGAGCCGGAAGGACAGGCUCUGCCAUUAAAUGCAGAUAUGGACAUAUUGACAACGAUAAAUCCAGAUGCAGACGAGGUGGAAGAGACCGAUAACAAAGUAUUCGAGAAAUAUGAUCCUUUAUUACAUGGAAACAGUCGCUCAAAGAGUGAUCAAAUUCUUAAUAUCAGAUUUAUGAGGAAAUAUAUUCAUAUUGCGCGCUGCAUGAAACCAAAAUUAACGGAAGAAGCUAGCAUCGCAAUUGCGGAAGAGUACUCCAAACUUCGAUCGGAAGAUAGUUUGGAAUCCGACGUGGCUAGGACGCAACCUGUAACUGCCCGAACCUUGGAAACGCUCAUUCGUUUAUCAACGGCACAUGCGAAAGCCAGACUCUCUAAGUACGUAACGGUAGCGGAUGCACAUUCAGCCAUUGAGCUUGUGCAGUUCGCUUACUUUAAGCGAGUUUUGGAGAAGGAAAAGAAGAAACGUCGAAGACGUGACAGCGAAGUCAGUACGGACGAUGAAACCGUGGAAAAACGAAAAUCUAAGCGAACCAAAAGAACCGAUACCGCUUCGGGUGAAAAUGGUAAGGAUCCGUAUGAGUACGAUAGCGAAGAAGAUAAGUCACACGUUGAAGAUGCUGUCCAAAGAGCUACCGAUUCUAGAGCACCUGCCGAACCAAUGGCUACUAUUUCUGAAGAAACCAGUCCCGCCAGUAUUACCGAAGACAGACUCAAGGUUUUCUUUUCAACUUUGCACAAACUUUUCAAAGAGGCAAGAACUCAAACGCUUCCGAUGGCCAGGAUACGAGAACAUCUCAGUAGUCAACAUGACCCACCCUUUACGCCAAGUGAAGUUUCAGCUGCUCUCAAUCAAAUGAUGGAUGCAAAUAAAUUGAUGCUCGCCGAUGACAACGUUUUCCUCAUUUAAAAUCCCUCCACUUCCGAAUUGGCUACAAAAAUCAAGAGAUGUUCACGUUCAUGUAAACCCUUCGCAGAAAUGAAGGUAGCAUAGGUCCGUUUUGUCGUCAGCUGCACCGGCA